rnacentral:rRNA from 1 species
UACGUAGGGUGCAAGCGUUAAUCGGAAUUACUGGGCGUAAAGCGUGCGCAGGCGGCUUUGCAAGACAGAUGUGAAAUCCCCGGGCUUAACCUGGGAACUGCAUUUGUGACUGCAUGGCUGGAGUGCGGCAGAGGGGGAUGGAAUUCCGAGUGUAGCAGUGAAAUGCGUAGAUAUGCGGAGGAACACCGAUGGCGAAGGCAAUCCCCUGGGCCUGCACUGACGCUCAUGCACGAAAGCGUGGGGAGCAAACAGG